CCUGCAUGAAGUCGGAAUUGCUAGUAAUCGCAGAUCAGCAUGCUGCGGUGAAUACGUUCCCGGGCCUUGUACACACCGCCCGUCACACCAUGGGAGUCGGUAACACCCGAAGCCUGUAGUCUAACCGCAAGGAGGACGCAGUCGAAGGUGGGAUUGAUGACUGGGGUGAAGUCGUAACAAGGUAGC
rnacentral:rRNA from 1 species